rnacentral:rRNA from 3 species
UUUUUUUUUUUAUUUUUUUUUUCGCUCCCGAGACGCCGGCGGUGUGCCUAAUACAUGCAAGUCGUACGCACUGGCCCAACUGAUUGAUGGUGCUUGCACCUGAUUGACGAUGGAUCACCAGUGAGUGGCGGACGGGUGAGUAACACGUAGGUAACCUGCCCCGGAGCGGGGGAUAACAUUUGGAAACAGAUGCUAAUACCGCAUAACAACAAAAGCCGCAUGGCUUUUGUUUGAAAGAUGGCUUUGGCUAUCACUCUGGGAUGGACCUGCGGUGCAUUAGCUAGUUGGUAAGGUAACGGCUUACCAAGGCGAUGAUGCAUAGCCGAGUUGAGAGACUGAUCGGCCACAAUGGAACUGAGACACGGUCCAUACUCCUACGGGAGGCAGCAGUAGGGAAUCUUCCACAAUGGGCGCAAGCCUGAUGGAGCAACACCGCGUGAGUGAAGAAGGGUUUCGGCUCGUAAAGCUCUGUUGUUGGAGAAGAACGUGUGUGAGAGUAACUGUUCACGCAGUGACGGUAUCCAACCAGAAAGUCACGGCUAACUACGUGCCAGCAGCCGCGGUAAUACGUAGGUGGCAAGCGUUAUCCGGAUUUAUUGGGCGUAAAGCGAGCGCAGGCGGUUGCUUAGGUCUGAUGUGAAAGCCUUCGGCUUAACCGAAGAAGUGCAUCGGAAACCGGGCGACUUGAGUGCAGAAGAGGACAGUGGAACUCCAUGUGUAGCGGUGGAAUGCGUAGAUAUAUGGAAGAACACCAGUGGCGAAGGCGGCUGUCUGGUCUGCAACUGACGCUGAGGCUCGAAAGCAUGGGUAGCGAACAGGAUUAGAUACCCUGGUAGUCCAUGCCGUAAACGAUGAGUGCUAGGUGUUGGAGGGUUUCCGCCCUUCAGUGCCGGAGCUAACGCAUUAAGCAUCUCCGCCUGGGGAGUACGACCGCAAGGUUGAAACUCAAAGGAAUUGACGGGGGCCCGCACAAGCGGUGGAGCAUGUGGUUUAAUUCGAAGCUACGCGAAGAACCUUACCAGGUCUUGACAUCUUGCGCUAACCUUAGAGAUAAGGCGUUCCCUUCGGGGACGCAAUGACAGGUGGUGCAUGGUCGUCGUCAGCUCGUGUCGUGAGAUGUUGGGUUAAGUCCCGCAACGAGCGCAACCCUUGUUACUAGUUGCCAGCAUUGAGUUGGGCACUCUAGUGAGACUGCCGGUGACAAACCGGAGGAAGGUGGGGACGACGUCAGAUCAUCAUGCCCCUUAUGACCUGGGCUACACACGUGCUACAAUGGACGGUACAACGAGUCGCAAACUCGCGAGAGUAAGCUAAUCUCUUAAAGCCGUUCUCAGUUCGGACUGUAGGCUGCAACUCGCCUACACGAAGUCGGAAUCGCUAGUAAUCGCGGAUCAGCAUGCCGCGGUGAAUACGUUCCCGGGCCUUGUACACACCGCCCGUCACACCAUGGGAGUUUGUAACGCCCAAAGUCGGUGGCCUAACCUUUAUGGAGGGAGCCGCCUAAGGCGGGACAGAUGACUGGGGUGAAGUCUA